rnacentral:rRNA from 1 species
GAGUUUGAUUCUGGCUCAGGACGAACGCUGGCGGCGUGCUUAACACAUGCAAGUCGAACGUGAUUUUUGUGGAAAUUCUUUCGGGAAUGGAAGUAAAAUGAAAGUGGCGAACGGGUGAGUAACACGUGAGCAACCUACCUUACACAGGGGGAUAGCCGUUGGAAACGACGAUUAAUACCGCAUGAGACCACAGUAUCGCAUGGUAUAGGGGUCAAAGAUUUAUCGGUGUAAGAUGGGCUCGCGUCUGAUUAGCUAGUUGGAAGGGUAAAGGCCUACCAAGGCGACGAUCAGUAGCCGGUCUGAGAGGAUGAACGGCCACAUUGGAACUGAGACACGGUCCAAACUCCUACGGGAGGCAGCAGUGGGGAAUAUUGCACAAUGGGGGGAACCCUGAUGCAGCGACGCCGCGUGAGCGAAGAAGGUUUUCGAAUCGUAAAGCUCUGUCCUAUGAGAAGAUAAUGACGUUCNGGGAGCC